rnacentral:rRNA from 1 species
UACAGAGGGGGCAAGCGUUGUUCGGAAUUACUGGGCGUAAAGGGCGCGUAGGCGGCCUGUUAAGUCGAACGUGAAAUCCCCGGGCUCAACCCGGGAACUGCGUCCGAUACUGGCAGGCUUGAAUUCGGGAGAGGGAUGCGGAAUUCCAGGUGUAGCGGUGAAAUGCGUAGAUAUCUGGAGGAACACCGGUGGCGAAGGCGGCAUCCUGGACCGAUAUUGACGCUGAUGCGCGAAAGCCAGGGGAGCAAACGGGG